rnacentral:rRNA from 1 species
UACGUAGGGACCGAGCGUUGUCCGGAAUCAUUGGGCGUAAAGAGCGUGUAGGCGGCCUUUUAAGUCCUGCGUGAAAUCCUGCGGCUCAACCGCAGACGGUCGUGGGAAACUGGAAGGCUAGAGUGCGGGAGAGGUGAGUGGAAUUCCUAGUGUAGAGGUGAAAUUCGUAGAUAUUAGGAAGAACACCAGUGGCGAAGGCGGCUCACUGGCCCGGUACUGACGCUGAGGCGCGAAAGCGUGGGGAGCAAACAGG